rnacentral:rRNA from 1 species
GACGAACGCUGGCGGCGUGCUUAACACAUGCAAGUCGAGCGGGCCCUUCGGGGUCAGCGGCAGACGGGUGAGUAACGCGUGGGAACGUGCCCUUCGGUUCGGAAUAACCCUGGGAAACUAGGGCUAAUACCGGAUACGCCCUUAUGGGGAAAGGUUUACCGCCGAAGGAUCGGCCCGCGUCUGAUUAGCUUGUUGGUGAGGUAACGGCUCACCAAGGCGACGAUCAGUAGCUGGUCUGAGAGGAUGAUCAGCCACACUGGGACUGAGACACGGCCCAGACUCCUACGGGAGGCAGCAGUGGGGAAUAUUGGACAAUGGGGGCAACCCUGAUCCAGCCAUGCCGCGUGAGUGAUGACGGCCUUAGGGUUGUAAAGCUCUUUUACCCGGGACGAUAAUGACGGUACCGGGUGAAUAAGCCCCGGCUAACUUCGUGCCAGCCGCCGCAGUAA